UUCGCAAUGCCCGAAAGGGUGACGAAGCGACGCCGCGUGAGCGAAGAAGGCCCUAGGGUUGUAAAGCUCUGUCGGGGGUUAUGAAAUGCAGGUUGGUUAAUACCCAACCUGUUUGACAAAGGCCCCAAAGGAAGCCACGGCUAACUCUGUGCCAGCAGCCGCGGUAAUACAGAGGUGGCAAGCGUUGUUCGGUAUUAUUGGGCGUAAAGAGCACGUAGGUGGUUUUGUAAGUCAGAUGUGAAAGCCUUCUGUUCAAAGGAAGAACGGCAUCUGAAACUGCAGAUCUUGAGUGCAGGAGGGGAGAGUGGAACUUCUGGUGGAGCGGUGAAAUGCGUAGAUAUCAGAAGGAACGUCGGCGGCGAAAGCGACUCUCUGGCCUAUUACUGACACUGAGUGUGCGAAAGUUAGGGGAGCAAACGGGAUUAGAUACCCCGGUAGUCCUAACUGUAAACGAUGGGCACUAAGUAGAGGGGUUUU
rnacentral:rRNA from 1 species